rnacentral:lncRNA from 10 species
GUUGUCCUCAGCCGACCUGAUUCUCAUUAUCUGUGAAGAUUCCCAUGGAAUGAUUCAUCAGACUUUGCAACAAAACUCCUAAAGAACUGUUUAGGACAUUGUUGAAUUUUAACAUCUCCAGAUGCUGGCACUAAACGCUGGAGCACCUUCCAUCCUUCAGUAAAUGCAACAACUGGAAAUGGCCCCCUAUGGUUCUCAGUGUCCCCUGGAGGGGUAGUAUCAUCUUCCAUACGCCGUGUGAAUCACUAUGACUAGUGUGUGGAUCUGUGUGCUAGCAUAUGGGUAGCCUUCUACUCCUGUGUCCUUCAUACAAAUAUAGAGGAAAUCGCUCAUCUGUAAGUUCAAUGAAAAAGCCGCACAAUGAAUCCAACUCUGAAAAAGCUGAAUGCUUUCACACUAUGUCAUCCUGCCUGCCUGUCCUGCUCUUCUCAGAACCCCAAUCUUCUUAGAUGAAUGCUCAGAAGCUCUGUCUCCUGUAGCCACCUUCAGCCCACAUACCACCUGUGCAAAAAUGUACAUACAUAUCAAUGUGCAUGAGCAUGGUGUCACAACACACAUCUAACUUUGUGUCUGUUUGCAGAUGCGCAUCCAUGAUAUGGACCACUUGUGCCAUUUCUAAGUUUGGGAAAUAUUUAAUAUCAUUCAAAGCCAACCAAUAUGGCAGUAUGCUUUGAAAGUGAAAUUCUAGUAACAUAAAAAUCACAUUUAUCUGAAAAUGAGCAGGUUUCCAUGUGUGAGUAGUAAGGUACCCAUGUGUUGAGAGUGACAUGUAACGUGGGGUUUGUAAAAACCUCCGACAAUGUUGAAUAUAUAAAAGACAUUACUGAAGUAUGCAAUGAUUGGCUCCUUGAUUCAAUGAGUAAUAGGUACCUCUCAGACUAAUUUGAAAGCCUUCAUUUUUUUUUGACAAGCUCUUUAAUUUGCACAGUAUCAUG